GCCUCCCUUUUGUGGAUGGCAGUGAACCACCAAACACCCCCAUCUCCUUUUCUUUCUUCUUUUUUUUGUUCGACACCACCAAAAACACACACACACAUAACACACAAAACACUUAUUCUUCCAAAUCAAAAAUCUGCACUCUAUAGAAAUCAAAUGGGGAAUUAAAAAGGGAGUAAUCAUCUAGCAAAUAUACAAGGAUUCAUCAUCAUCCUCAUCUUUUUCUUCAUUUAUUUCAAGAACAUCAAUUUGGUUUGGAUAGACGUGGAGACUAAAUUGCUCAUCUACAAGUCUGCUCAUCCUUUUAAUUCGUCAAUCUCUAAGGUAACCAACAGUAAGUCUUGGAUCAUAUUGGCAUUAUAGGGUCAUUCCUUUGACUUUGGACGUAUAAUUAGCGUCAGACAUUGGAGGACUAUUAUGUUCUUAGUUCUAAUUGUACUAGACGAUCCAAAUAUUUAUCUUGUAUUAAGUGGGCCCAAUUCCAUAUAUGGAUGACUUGUAUCCGUAUUCUGGGGUCCACAUUUGAACGAUUGUAUUUGUAUUAGACUUGUAUUUGGUAUUAAAUGGAUGUAAUUUCUUUUAGCCUU